GGCAAAGCUCAAAUUUGAAACCUUCGGGAUUGUAAUUUGAAGACGUGGAACCGGGAGAAAGCUAACCCAAGUUGCUUGGAAUAGUACGCCGAAGAAAAGUGACAACCCCGUCUGGCUAACCGUUCUCCAUGUAUUGCCUUAUCAAAGAGUCGAGUUGUUUGGGAAUGCAGCUCAAAGUGGGUGGUAAACUCCAUCUAAAGCUAAAUACUGGUGAGAGACCGAUAGCGAACAAGUACUGUGAAGGAAAGGUGAAAAGAACUUUGAAAAGAGAGUGAAAUAGUAUGUGAAAUUGUUGAUAGGGAAGGAAAUGAGUGGAGAGUGGUUGAGGUUUCAGCUUGCCUUUGGGCAGGUGUAUUGCCAACGCCGAGUCAUUGACAGCGAGACGGCGGUU
rnacentral:rRNA from 1 species